AGAGUUUGAUCCUGGCUCAGAUUGAACGCUGGCGGCAGGCCUAACACAUGCAAGUCGAGCGGUAACAGGGAGUAGCUUGCUACUUCGCUGACGAGCGGCGGACGGGUGAGUAAUGCUUGGGAACUUGCCUUUGGGAGGGGGAUAACCGCUGGAAACGGUGGCUAAUACCGCAUGAUGUCUACGGACCAAAGCGGGGGCUCUUCGGACCUCGCGCCCAAAGAUAGGCCCAAGUGAGAUUAGCUAGUUGGUGGGGUAAUGGCUCACCAAGGCGACGAUCUCUAGCUGUUCUGAGAGGAUGAUCAGCCACACUGGGACUGAGACACGGCCCAGACUCCUACGGGAGGCAGCAGUGGGGAAUAUUGGACAAUGGGGGGAACCCUGAUCCAGCCAUGCCGCGUGUGUGAAGAAGGCCCUAGGGUUGUAAAGCACUUUCAGUGGUGAGGAAGGCUUGUUAGCGAAUACCUAACAAGAUUGACGUUAGCCACAGAAGAAGCACCGGCUAACUCCGUGCCAGCAGCCGCGGUAAUACGGAGGGUGCGAGCGUUAAUCGGAAUUACUGGGCGUAAAGCGUACGUAGGCGGCUUAUUAAGCAAGAUGUGAAAGCCCCGGGCUCAACCUGGGAAUGGCAUUUUGAACUGGUAGGCUCGAGUUCUGAAGAGGGUGGUAGAAUUUCCUGUGUAGCGGUGAAAUGCGUAGAUAUAGGAAGGAAUACCGGUGGCGAAGGCGGCCACCUGGUCAGAGACUGACGCUGAGGUACGAAAGCGUGGGGAGCAAACAGGAUUAGAUACCCUGGUAGUCCACGCCGUAAACGAUGUCAACUAGUUGUUCGUGUCAUUAACGACGUGAGUAACGCAGCUAACGCACUAAGUUGACCGCCUGGGGAGUACGGCCGCAAGGUUAAAACUCAAAUGAAUUGACGGGGGCCCGCACAAGCGGUGGAGCAUGUGGUUUAAUUCGAUGCAACGCGAAGAACCUUACCUGCCUUGACAUGCUGAGAACUUUCUAGAGAUAGAUUGGUGCCUUCGGGAACUGUGAGACAGGUGCUGCAUGGCUGUCGUCAGCUCGUGUUGUGAGAUGUUGGGUUAAGUCCCGCAACGAGCGCAACCC
rnacentral:rRNA from 1 species